AUUGAACGCUGGCGGCAGGCCUAACACAUGCAAGUCGAACGAGGGGCGGACGGGUGAGAAAUGGCUGGGAAACUGCAUGAAGGAGGGGGAUAACUAGUGGAAACGGUAGCUAAUACCGCAUACCAGCGGAUGAGACCAGAUGGUAUUAGCUAGGGGGUGGGGUAACGGUUCACCUAGGCGACGAUCCCUAGCUGGUCUGAGAGGAUGACCCGCCACACUGGAACUAGGACACUCUCCAGACUCCUACGGGAGGCAGCAGUGGGGCAUAUUGCACAAUGGGCGCAAGCCUGAUGCAGCCAUGCCGCGUGUAUGUAGAAGGCCUUCGGGUUGUAAAGUACUUUCAGCGGGGAGGCGUUACCCGCAGAAGAAGCACCGGCUAACUCCGUGCCAGCCGCCGCGGUAAUAC
rnacentral:rRNA from 1 species